rnacentral:rRNA from 1 species
UACGUAGGAUGCAAGCGUUGUCCGGAUUUACUGGGCGUAAAGGGCGCGCAGGCGGCAAUACAAGUUACACGUGAAAGCCCUCGGCUAAACCGAGGAGGGUCGUGUGAUACUGUAUAGCUAGAGUGCAGCAGAGGAUAGCGGAAUUCCCGGUGUAGUGGUGAAAUGCGUAGAGAUCGGGAGGAACACCAGUGGCGAAAGCGGCUAUCUGGGCUGUAACUGACGCUGAGGCGCGAAGGCUAGGGGAG